AUGGCUGUAUAUAAAGAUGUUCCUACUAGGUAUUCUGACGUUGAUUAUCUAAAAGAAAGAGCAAUUCUAACACCAACGAACGAAGUAGCUGGAAAAAUAAACGAACGUGUUCUAUCUUUAGUGCCUACCAGUGAGAGAGAGUACCUAAGCUGUGAUACUAUAGGGAAUUCAGCUGAUGCAUUUCGUAAUCAGGACGCCUUCUAUCCUGUCGAACAAACCAUCGUUGUAAAUAUUGCCGUUGGCCCUUUCUGCCUUAUCUCCCUCCUUAUGACAAUCUCUACUCACUGUAAAUGCCGCUUGGCCAUGCUGUUUAAACUAUGUCUUGUCGUUGCUGUUACACUGUGUGCGCCUCCUUAUAUCUUCUAUUUGCUGCUGGGCUUGCUAAUCUAA
rnacentral:rRNA from 1 species